GAUGAACGCUAGCUACAGGCUUAACACAUGCAAGUCGUGGGGCAUCAUGAUGUAGUAAUACAUUGAUGGCGACCGGCGCACGGGUGAGUAACGCGUAUCCAACCUACCCUCCACUCAAGUAUAGGCUUCCGAAAGGGAGAUUAAUCCUUGAUAUCGUCAUUCUCUCUCCUGUUAGAAUGAUAAAAGGACAUCGUUUCGGUAGAGGAUGGGGAUGCGUUCCAUUAGGUAGUAGGCGGUUUAACAGGCCACCUAGCCGAUGAUGGAUAGGGGUUCUGAGAGGAAUAUCCCCCACACUGGUACUGAGAUACGGACCAGACUCCUACGGGAGGCAGCAGUGAGGAAUAUUGGUCAAUGGGCGCAAGCCUGAACCAGCCAUGUAGCGUGAAGGAUGACGGUUUUUUUGAUUGUAAACUUCUUUUCUGUGCGAUUAAAGUGUGGCAUUUAUGCCAUAAUGCAGUAUUUCAGGAAAG
rnacentral:rRNA from 1 species